AUGGGAAAUACUCAUGCUAUGGAUUUGAUUAUAUUACAAAAGAACUUGAUUGAAGAACUCAUGGUUUGGGGCAAUAGUGUCAAAGAAAUGAUACUGGCAUGGUCUCAGCUACAGUCACGACCUCAUGGUAGAUAGCAGCACAGUAGAAGUGUGUGCAUAAGAGGGAGAGUCCAUGGCAACACAGGAAGACGAGGAGGCCAGUGAUGACCUCCCAGUAGGCUCUACCUCUAUGGAGCCCACUACUUCUUAAGACUGCCACUCUGAGGACCAAGCUUCUGGCGCGCUGACAGCUGUGGGUGUGUUUGUCGCUUUUCUUGUUUCUGUGACAAGAUACCUGACAUGGCAACUUAAGGAAGAUCGGGUUUAUUUUAGCUCACAGUUUCGGGGUCCAGCCUCUCACGAUGGGGGAAAUCAUGGCAGCAGGGACUUGUGGGUAACUGGGCCAUACUUUCCAUUGUCAGGAAGCACAGAGUAAUAAAUGCUGGAGCUCAGCUCACUUUCUCCUUUUAUUUUUCAGACUGAAGUCUGUGUGACAGUGCCACCAAAGUUAGAGUAGCUGUUCCCACUUCAGUUAACCUCUCUAAAAACUCCCUCACAGACAUGCAAAGGAGGCUUGUCUUCUAGUUCAAGAGGUGAGUUCUCAGCCUGCUUCUCGGGACACCAUGCCUGCUGCCUGCCACACAUUCCUGUCAUGAUGGUGAUGGACUUUUAGACCUCUGGAACCACCGACCAUCUUUAUUUGCGAGACAUGAAAGGAGCUAGAAUCCAAGUUGUGUCAUGAAAGCUUCACAGAGAAGGUGUAAGAUGAGCAUCCAAGGCACAAGUUUCUUCCACGAGCAAUGCAAGGCAGU